CUUAUUAGUGUAGAAUUUUCACCUUACCGCACAAAAACAUUGUGUGUUUCGAUUUUUUUUGUAUGGCGAGUGUGAUGAAUCGGAAAUAAUACUACAUAAAAGCCGGUGCAGGCUCUACGUGGAAGAGGAAAUGCCACGACCCGAACUUAUGGCAGGAUUUGGGGGAGGCCUAUGCGAAAGCAAAACAAUCUCAGCCGAUGUCAAAUGAAAAGAAAAAAAUGAAUAGUAUGUAUCUAAAUAUGAAUUAAGGUUGUUAAUAAAGGCUUCUUUAUCUUUA